GGGGGUAUUCUGGUUGCCUUACCCAGCUCUGAAGUCUGUCAGCCUCUUCAGAUGUCACUUGCCCUGUGGUAAGGAAGUGUAGUUGGCAGCUGGUGCAGUGGCAAGAAGAGAAAGGAAGUUCCCCAAGACAGAAACAUCUCGGCAGGUUUGGAAUAGUUCACCAGUGAAGUCAUCUCAACCAGCACAGGGCCUUGACUCCUAACAACAAUCACACGAACUUGGAAGAGGAUCCUUCCCCAGCUGAAACUUCACUUGAGACCUUCUCAUUGGCCAUCAUCGACAUCUGGAUUCAUGAUACAGAGAAACUGCUUUGAAUAACUCACCAGUGAAGUCAUCUUGACCUGGACAGAAAUUGAAUCCUCCCAAGAAUCCCAGGAGCUUGGAAGGGGAUCCUUCCCCAGAUGAGCCUUCCCUUGAAAUCUCUGCCAGGCAUCUGACCCAGAGAAACUGUCAGAGAGGUUAAUCCUAAGAACAGUUACAUAAGCUUGGAAGGAGACCUUUCCCCAGAUGGGCCAUAGCCUGGGCCAUCACCUACAUCUGGACUGAAGAACCAGAGAAACUACUCCAUCAGGAAUCGUUUGGGACCGUGGGUUCUGUUGACACUCACAUUGUGUAAUUAUGUUGCCCACUGCCAACCCUAAAGCCACCAAGGUAGCAGGUUUCAAAUAAUUCAUCAGUGAAUUCUCCUCAACCUGGUCAAUCAUGUGAACUUAGAAGAUGAUUCCUCCCCAGCUGAUCCUCAGGUGAGACCUCAGCCUUGGCCAUCAUCUAUAUCUGGAUUCCUGACCCAGAGAAACUGGAACACUAAGGCCCAUUCUUCCUCUCAAGUAUCCAGAAAUAAAGUUGCUCCAAGUAACAAGUGGACAGCAUAAAAGAUUGUAUGGAAACUAUAAUGCAUCUACAUCUGCAGUAACUAAUCAUAAAAUGAUUUGUAUGAUCAUUCUUCACAUGAUUAGAAUUACUAUGGGAAAGAAGAAAAAGAAAUGCAACUUUCUUGAUUUAAAAUUUUAUCUGUGCAAGUGUGGUGGCACACACCUGUAGUCAGUCCCAACUGCUAGGGAGGGUGGGUAGGAUGAUCAUGUGAUACCAGGAGUUUGAGGCUAUGUAGUGUACUAUGAUUGUGUUAGUGAAUAACCAGUGCAUUCCAGUCUGGGCAAUGUAGUUAAACCCCAUUAAAUAAAUAAAUAAAUAAGUUACAGAG
ensembl:lncRNA PWRN1 Prader-Willi region non-protein coding RNA 1